GCCUGUUAAAAAGGCCAUUAUAUUCAUAAGAAUAAUAUGCCUUUUGAUUUAAAUCUCUCUCUGUUUUGCCGAGAUUGAUUGGCACGCAGCAUCCAGCACAGCAGCCAAUCAGCGCUCACGGAUCGACGUGCAGGCGAUCAUCCCGCCCAUAGCGCUUAGUGCAAAGUUGAAAGCGAGUCCGACGGAGCGCUGACGCGGAUGCUGAACUUUUACGUUAUAUAUCUUAUAUAGUUUUAUUCAUUGUUCGGGUGUUGUGCGUCUAUUCAAAAAAAACCACACACACACAUACUGAAUAUACCCAACUAAGACGACUCUUCAACUUUUUACUAAUAACUGAGUUGUUGUGGUGACAAAUAAACGGGUUACUCCCAUAUUUCAAC